rnacentral:rRNA from 1 species
CCUACGGGAGGCAGCAGUGAGGAAUAUUGGUCAAUGGACGAAAGUCUGAACCAGCCAAGUAGCGUGAAGGAUGACUGCCCUAUGGGUUGUAAACUUCUUUUAUAUGGGAAUAAAAUGUUCCACGUGUGGGAUUUUGUAUGUACCAUAUGAAUAAGGAUCGGCUAACUCCGUGCCAGCAGCCGCGGUAAUACGGAGGAUCCGAGCGUUAUCCGGAUUUAUUGGGUUUAAAGGGAGCGUAGGUGGAUUGUUAAGUCAGUUGUGAAAGUUUGCGGCUCAACGGUAAAAUUGCAGUUGAAACUGGCAGGCUUGAGUACGGUAGAGGUGGGCGGAAUUCGUGGUGUAGCGGUGAAAUGCUUAGAUAUCACGAAGAACUCCGAUUGCGAAGGCAGCUCACUGGACUGCAACUGACACUGAGGCUCGAAAGUGUGGGUAUCAAACAGGAUUAGAUACCCGGGUAGUC